CAACGGCGCUCAUCCUUAUCCAAUUCCGAGGUGUCAGGCAAUCACCAGGGAAACAAGUGCAAACAAAGUAAAGGUCCCACUGAACGUUCAUAUACGCGCUCAUCUAGAAGCGCUAAACUGAAGCUUCAUAUUUGGCUGACUGCACGCUCUGGAACAACUGUGCCCCACCUCAAACAACGAUCACACUGACAUGCAUGUCUCCCUCGAGCAUUUUCUGCCUUCAGUCACUGAUGUCAUACCAAUACUUCACCCUCCCUCUCUGUUUUUGGGGAUGAACUUGUCCAUAGACACUUAUCUAAUGUCAGUUUCCUUAUUCCCCCACUCUAAUGGUUAAUGUUAGGAUUUGGGAGCGGGUAAACUGAUCCUAGAUCUGUACCUAAGGGCAUAGUCUACC
ensembl:lncRNA